GAUGAACGCUGGCGGCGUGCCUAAUACAUGCAAGUCGAGCGAACAGACGAGGAGCUUGCUCCUCUGACGUUAGCGGCGGACGGGUGAGUAACACGUGGAUAACCUACCUAUAAGACUGGGAUAACUUCGGGAAACCGGAGCUAAUACCGGAUAAUAUAUUGAACCGCAUGGUUCAAUAGUGAAAGACGGUUUUGCUGUCACUUAUAGAUGGAUCCGCGCCGCAUUAGCUAGUUGGUAAGGUAACGGCUUACCAAGGCAACGAUGCGUAGCCGACCUGAGAGGGUGAUCAGCCACACUGGAACUGAGACACGGUCCAGACUCCUACGGGAGGCAGCAGUAGGGAAUCUUCCGCAAUGGGCGAAAGCCUGACGGAGCAACGCCGCGUGGGUGAUGAAGGUCUUCGGAUCGUAAAGCUCUUUUAUUGGGAAAGAACAAAUGUGUAAGUAUCUAUGCACGUCUUGACGGUACCUAAUCAGAAAGCCACGGCUAACUACGUG
rnacentral:rRNA from 1 species